rnacentral:rRNA from 1 species
AAGUCGUAACAAGGUUUCCGUAGGUACGCACGUUUGCCUACCGGAGCCCCGCGCAGCGACUCUAAAGAAGUGCCCCAGUCGGCCCCAACGAGGGGCCGGCGACGCCGUCACUCUGCUCUGGGAGCGCCGUCCGCGGCCCUACCAGGAGCCCCUCUGGGGGUCCACAGAUCAAACGACAGCGGCCGCCCCGGCGGUUGAGAUAUGACCGGCCCCGGCUUUCAUCGGCCGGCGACCUCGCGGAACCUGCGGAAGGAUCAUUAAUGAGAGGGGUUAAACCCCGCGGGGGCUCCGGCCCCCAACUCUACACCCCUUGUGUACCUACCUUUGUUGCUUUGGCGGGCCCAGGGGGCUCGCCCCUGGCCGACCGGUGGCCCGUCCGCCGGUCCGGUUCGUGCCCGUCAGAGGCCCAUCAAACCCCGUUCAUCAGUGACGUCCGAUUUAAAUACCACAAUCGUAAAAAACUUUCAACAACGGAUCUCUUGGUUCUGGCAUCGAUGAAGAACGCAGCGAAAUGCGAUAAGUAAUGUGAAUUGCAGAAUUCAGUGAAUCAUCGAAUCUUUGAACGCACAUUGCGCCCCUCGGUAUUCCGGGGGGCAUGCCUGUUCGAGCGUCAUUGCACCCCUCAAGCUCCGCUUGGUGUUGGGCCUCGCCCCCUCGGGUGGACCCGAAAGUCAGUGGCGGUCCGGCGCGGCUUCGAGCGUAGUAAAUUAUCUCCCGCUUUUGGAAGUUGGCGUCGAGGCCGGCCAGCAAGCCUCUUAUCUUCAAAUAAUUGACCUCGGAUC